UUUGCCGCCACUAAAAUUCUUCCCGCUGCCUCAAAUAUUUGAUCAUCCUGCCCAUAUCCCUAAAAUUGUGGAGCCUCUACACGCUACUCUUCUACUACCUCCAGCGAUGAAACUCCAAUAAACCUAAAAGAUUGAAAAUUUCACGGCUUCUCUUCCAUCGCCCAUCACUCUCUCUCUCGCAUAGUUCUCCUUUUUCCCUCUUAUUCUGUCUCAGCACGUCUUAUUCUUCUUUAUCUUCUGGUUAAUCUAAGCUCUAAUCCUCUUGAUCUCUCUUUACAGGUGCCUCCAUUCCAGAUCUGCUCCGAAACAAAAAUUGAAAGAAGUUUGGCAGUGGGCAAUAGUACAAGAGGCUUGUUUCGAUUCUAUGAUUGGUCUUGUUUAGGAUUUGAGGAUAAAACUUCAGGCUUCCCAGGGGCUUCAUCUGCUCAGCCUGCUUCUACUAAUGGAGAUUCUGAAACACAUGCCACUAUGCCAGAAAAACAAUCAGACGACAGAGGAGAUCUGUCGUCUGAUUAAAAAUAUUUCUGUUGUCUAGUACGGUGCCGUCUCUUGGGGCAUCAGACGACAGAUUUCCUCUGUCGUCUUAUUUAUCAGACGACAGAAAUUUGUUAGGUCUUCUGUUGUCUGAUGAAAUCGAGACAUGAGGCUAGUGAAUUCAAACGACAGAUAAAUGUCGUGUGAUCUAGAAACAAAUAACAGUUCCUUAUAAUUUGUAUGAUCUAAUGCUUAUUCCAAAGACAGAAAAAUGUGGUUUGAAUGCACUGAAGUAGAAGA